GACGAACGCUGGCGGCGUGCCUAAUACAUGCAAGUUGAGCGCUGAAGGUUGGUACUUGUACCAACUGGAUGAGCAGCGAACGGGUGAGUAACGCGUGGGGAAUCUGCCUUUGAGCGGGGGACAACAUUUGGAAACGAAUGCUAAUACCGCAUAAAAACUUUAAACACAAGUUUUAAGUUUGAAAGAUGCAAUUGCAUCACUCAAAGAUGAUCCCGCGUUGUAUUAGCUAGUUGGUGAGGUAAAGGCUCACCAAGGCGAUGAUACAUAGCCGACCUGAGAGGGGGAUCGGCCACAUUGGGACUGAGACACGGCCCAAACUCCUACGGGAGGCAGCAGUAGGGAAUCUUCGGCAAUGGACGAAAGUCUGACCGAGCAACGCCGCGUGAGGGAAGAAGGUUUUCGGAUCGUAAAACUCUGUUGGUAGAGAAGAACGUUGGUGAGAGUGGAAAGCUCAUCAAGUGACGGUAACUACCCAGAAAGGGACGGCUAACUACGUG
rnacentral:rRNA from 1 species